ACACAUGCAAGUCGAGGGGCAGCAUCAUCAAAGCUUGCUUUGAUGGAUGGCGACCGGCGCACGGGUGAGUAACACGUAUCCAACCUGCCGACAACACUGGGAUAGCCUUUCGAAAGAAAGAUUAAUACCGGAUGGCAUAGUUUUCCCGCAUGGGAUAAUUAUUAAAGAAUUUCGGUUGUCGAUGGGGAUGCGUUCCAUUAGGCAGUUGGCGGGGUAACGGCCCACCAAACCUACGAUGGAUAGGGGUUCUGAGAGGAAGGUCCCCCACAUUGGAACUGAGACACGGUCCAAACUCCUACGGGAGGCAGCAGUGAGGAAUAUUGGUCAAUGGACGAGAGUCUGAACCAGCCAAGUAGCGUGAAGGAUGACUGCCCUAUGGGUUGUAAACUUCUUUUAUACGGGAAUAAAGUGAGCCACGUGUGGCUUUUUGUAUGUACCGUAUGAAUAAGGAUCGGCUAACUCCGUGCCAGCAGCCGCGGUAAUACGGAGGAUUCGAGCGUUAUCCGGAUUUAUUGGGUUUAAAGGGAGCGUAGGCGGGUUGUUAAGUCAGUUGUGAAAGUUUGCGGCUCAACCGUGAAAUUGCAGUUGAUACUGGCGACCUUGAGUGCAACAGAGGUAGGCGGAAUUCGUGGUGUAGCGGUGAAAUGCUUAGAUAUCACGAAGAACUCCGAUUGCGAAGGCAGCUUACUGGAUUGUAACUGACGCUGAUGCUCGAAAGUGUGGGUAUCAAACAGGAUUAGAUACCCUGGUAGUCCACACAGUAAACGAUGAAUACUCGCUGUUGGCGAUAUACAGUCAGCGGCCAAGCGAAAGCAUUAAGUAUUCCACCUGGGGAGUACGCCGGCA
rnacentral:rRNA from 1 species